GACGAACGCUGGCGGCGUGCUUAACACAUGCAAGUCGAGCGAGGUCCAUCCAGUGGCAACACUGGGGAAGACCUAGCGGCGAACGGGUGAGUAACACGUGAGCAACCUGCCCCGAAGACUGGGAUAACACCGGGAAACCGGUGCUAAUACCGGAUGCCCUCACCGGGCCGCAUGACCUGGUGAGGAAAUGAAUUUUGCUUCGGGAGGGGCUCGCGGGCUAUCAGCUUGUUGGUGAGGUAACGGCUCACCAAGGCUACGACGGCUAGCUGGUCUGAGAGGACGAUCAGCCACACUGGGACUGAGACACGGCCCAGACUCCUACGGGAGGCAGCAGUGGGGAAUCUUGCGCAAUGGGCGAAAGCCUGACGCAGCAACGCCGCGUGGGGGAUGAAUGCCUUC
rnacentral:rRNA from 1 species